GGGGGAGUUUUAGGAGGAGAGGGACGGUGAAAGAGAAAGUGGGUUAAAGGUGAGAGGGACGGUGAAAGAGAAAGUGGGUUAAAGACGCCGAGGAGCAGCUAAACAAAACGUUGAAAGAGCUGAAGGCCAAAGAAAAAGAAAAGAAAGCCGAGGACACGAGGGGAUUCUGGAGCAGACUGCUGAGAAAGAACUGACCCAGCAGCAUCAAGUUUAAGGAGAUCAACAGCUUCUUCCUCCUUCCCCCUUUCUCCACCUUUCUUUCACCCCAUCCUUCUUCUCCUCUCUCUCUCUCUCAUCUUCUCUACCCUGACCUCUCACCUUUAACCCACUUUCUCUUUCACCGUCCCUCUCCUCCUAAAACUCCCCCCAAACUUUACUUGGGACGUUUGUUUGUUUUUUAAAAACUCUAAUCUGAAUACAUGUACUGAAAUACACA
ensembl:lncRNA